GAAAUGUGUUGACCAUAUAUAAGCCGCUAACUUAAUAUAUUUGCGGUUAAAUUCCGUUUACAUUUCU
rnacentral:tRNA from 1 species